rnacentral:rRNA from 1 species
UACAGAGGGUGCAGGCGUUGUUCGGAAUUAUUGGGCGUAAAGCGCGUGUAGGCGGCUUUGCAAGUCGGGUGUGAAAGCCCUCAGCUCAACUGAGGAAGUGCGCCCGAAACUGCAGAGCUUGAGUACCGGAGAGGAUGGCGGAAUUCCCCAAGUAGAGGUGAAAUUCGUAGAUAUGGGGAGGAACACCGGUGGCGAAGGCGGCCACCUGGACGGUAACUGACGCUGAGACGCGAAAGCGUUGGGAGCAAACAGG